GACGAACGCUGGCGGCGUGCUUAACACAUGCAAGUCGAACGGAAAGGCCCUGCUUUUGUGGGGUGCUCGAGUGGCGAACGGGUGAGUAACACGUGAGUAACCUGCCCUUGACUUUGGGAUAACUUCAGGAAACUGGGGCUAAUACCAGCUAGGAGCUCCUGCUGCAUGGUGGGGGUUGGAAAGUUUCGGCGGUUGGGGAUGGACUCGCGGCUUAUCAGCUUGUUGGUGGGGUAGUGGCUUACCAAGGCUUGGACGGGUAGCCGGCCUGAGAGGGUGACCGGACACAUUGGAACUGAACUGCGGCACAGACUCCUACGGGAGGCAGCAGUGGAGUAUAUUGCACUAUGGGCUGAAGCAUGAUGCAGCAAAGCCGCGUGCGGUAUGACGGCCUUCGGUUUGUAUACCGCUUUCGCCUGUGACGAAGCGUGAGUGACGGUAAUGGGUAAAGAAGCUCCGGCUAACUACGUG
rnacentral:rRNA from 1 species